AACGAACGCUGGCGGCAUGCCUAACACAUGCAAGUCGAACGAGACCUUCGGGUCUAGUGGCGCACGGGUGCGUAACGCGUGGGAACCUGCCCUUAGGUUCGGAAUAACUCCCCGAAAGGGGUGCUAAUACCGGAUAAUGUCUUCGGACCAAAGAUUUAUCGCCUUUGGAUGGGCCCGCGUUGGAUUAGCUAGUUGGUAGGGUAAAAGCCUACCAAGGCGACGAUCCAUAGCUGGUCUGAGAGGAUGAUCAGCCACACUGGGACUGAGACACGGCCCAGACCCCCUCGGGGGGGCAGAAGGGGGGAAAUUUGGACAUGGGGCGAAAGCCGAACCCACCAAGGCCGGGGGGGGGAUGAAGGCCUUGGGGUGUUAAAGCUCUUUUACCCGGGAGGAUAAGAACGGAACCGGGGAAAAAAGCCCCGGUAAACUCCGG
rnacentral:rRNA from 1 species